rnacentral:rRNA from 1 species
UUAAAAGUCUAAUCUGCCCAAUGAUUAAAAAUUAAAUGGCCGCGGUAAAUUGACCGUGCAAAGGUAGCAUAAUAAAUAGUCUUUUAAUUGGAGGCUUGAAUGAAUGAUUGAAUGAGAAAUUGACUUAAUUAAUAUUAAUAAUUGAAAUUGAUUUUUAAGUAAAAAAGCUUAAAUAUGUAAGUGGGACGAGAAGACCCUAUAGAAUUUUUAAAAUCUUAUUAAGUUUAUUUUUUAUAGUUAAUUAAUUUUUUUUUAUUUAAAUGGUUUUUUUGUUGGGGUGAUAUUAAAAUAUAAUUAACUUUUAAUAAAAAUUUCAUGAAUUUAUGUAACUUUUGAUCCAAAUUUUUGAUUAUAAGAACAAAUUACCUUAGGGAUAACAGCGUAAUUAAUUUGAAGAGUUCAUAUCGAUAAAUAUGAUUGCGACCUCGAUGUUGGAUUAAGAAUAGGGAUUGGAGCAAAAUUUAUUAUUUCUGGGUCUGUUCGACCCUUAAUAU